UCCUCUCCCCCAAAGCAGCCUUCAAGCAGCUAGUCCUGGUGGAGCACCCUUGAGACUGGCCUGCCAGCCAGGAAGUUGCUCCUUGCUCCCUCACGCAACGGACUCCGUCACCUGCUCUUCCCAGGAACCUCGGGCAAAAUCCUUGGAUCAAAAAGGCUGGCGUCGACGUGCUGGGUCCCCUCGCAGGAACUGAGUCUGGGAAGCCACAUGGCCUGCAGGCCGUCCACAGAAGUCCGCCUCCUAUGGGGGGAAAUUAAAAUAGGUUUAAUAU